ACCUAAGUUUCAGAGCAUCAUCAGUGAAGUUCUGAAUCUUGACAGUGGUACAAAUUUCAAGAAAUUCAUCUAGAUGUUUAUAUGGGUCUUCGUUGGUGAGCCCAUAAAAGGAUGGGAGCAUUUGGAUCACACUAGACUUUAUCCUCGAUAAAGUUAUUCAGAAUCAAUUGGAAAGAGGUCAACAAUUACGUGAGUUGCUUAAACAAUCCCAAUCAGACCCUCUCACGGUGGAAGAACAGAUAGUGACUAUUU
rnacentral:lncRNA from 1 species